AAGUCGUAACAAGGUUUCCGUAGGUGAACCUGCGGAAGGAUCAUUCCAACAAUUAAAAAAAAAAGCUAUUUUAAACUCACAGUUGAACUGUUCACUCAACUAUUUUUUUCUUUAUUGCAAUUAUGCAAUUAAAAACCCUAAAAACGUGAUAUUAUUAUUGAUUAACAGACCAAGUAAACUAAAACAAAAAGCGGAGCCUCUGAUAAUGAUGAAGGCUUUUUUUUUCGCUAUAAAAAAAAAAGAAAUAGAAAAGUACAACUCUUAACAAUGGAUACCUCGGUUCUUGC
rnacentral:misc_RNA from 1 species